rnacentral:rRNA from 1 species
GAGUGGUUCUAUCUGCAGUCGACGACAUCUUCGAGAUAUCUUGCUCCUUGGGUGGCUAGUGCCGGACAGUCGACGAAUACAUCUCGAAUCUACUUUUUCGUGGGGGAUCACGUACGGAAUCUUACCCUAAUUCCGCAUAUUACCUACCGGUGAAAGCACGGGACCUUCAGGCCUUGCGCGGUUGAGUGAACCGAUGUCGGAUUAACUAGUUGGCGGGGUAAAGGCCCACCAAGGCGACGAUCCGUAACUGGUCUGAGAGGAUGCUCCCCACGCUGGAACUGAGACACAGUCCAGACUCCUACGGGAGGCCUGAUGGGGAAUAUUGGACAAUGGGCGCAAGCCUGAUCCUUGUUACCGCUUGGGUGAAGAAUGCCUUCGGGUUGUAAAGCCCUUUUGUUGGGAAAGAAAUCCAGCCGGCUAAUACCUGGUUGGGAUGACGGUACCCAAAUAAUACGCACCUGCUAACUUCAUGCCACCAGCCGCCGUAUUAUCAAGGGUGAAGUCAUUACUCGGAAUUACUGCCCGUAACUCCUGCUUAAGUGGUUGUUUAAGUCUGAUGUGAAAGCCCUGGGCUCAACCUGGGAACUGCAGUGGAAACUGGACAACUAGAGUGUGGUAGAGGGUAGCGGAAUUCCCGGUGUAUCAGUGAAAUGCUUAGAUAUCGGGAGGAACAUCCCUGGCGAAUUAGCUACCUGGACCAUCACUGACACUGACGAUCAUAAAGCGUGUGUCAGCGAACAUGAUUAUAUACCCUGGUAGUCCACGCCCUAAACUUAUGCGAACUGGAUGUUGGGGUGCAAUUAGUCACGCUCAUCGGAAUCUAACGCGUUCAUUUUCGCCGCCUGGGAAGUACUGUCUCAUGACUGAAACUCACACGGAAUCGACGGGAGCCCUCACAUCCCUGGCAUAUGUCGUGUAAAUUCAUUGCAUCCGUACAACCCGUACCUGGGACUGGACGUGUCAAGAUUUUCCACGAAACGAUCGGUGCCUUCUGGGAUUUCGACCCCAGUGCUGCAUGCCUGUCUCUUUCUUGUGCUCUGAUAUGUUGGGUAUACUACCACGCAACCAGCGGCAGACCAUUCCUCGUUAAAUGCCGAGACGAAAUGAAGGGAUACCUCGAACGAAACCGGAGGAAGGUGGGGAGGAGGUCAAGUCUUCAUGGCCCCUACGGCCAGGGGUACACACGUAUUACAAUGGUAGGGACAGAGGGGGCCAACCCGGCGACGGUAAGCCAAUCCCAGAAACCGUAUCUCAGUCCGGAAUGGAGUUUGCAACUCGACUCCAUGAAGUCGGAAUCGCUAGUAAUCGCAGAUCAGCAUUGCUGCGGUGAAUACGUUCCCGGGCCUUGUACACACCGCCCGUCACACCAUGGGAGUUUGUUGCACUCAGAAGCAGGUAGCUAACCGUAAGGAGGAGCUGACCACAGUGAUAGU